CCCAGACUCCUACGGGAGGCAGCAGUGGGGAAUAUUGCACAAUGGGGGAAACCCUGAUGCAGCAACGCCGCGUGAGUGAGGAAGUAUUUCGGUAUGUAAAGCUCUAUCAGCAGGGAAUAGAAAAGAAGGUACCUGAAAAAGAAGCCCCGGCUAACUACGUGCCAGCAGCCGCGGUAAUACGUAGGGGGCAAGCGUUAUCCGGAUUUACUGGGUGUAAAGGGAGCGUAGACGGAAAGGCAAGUCAGAUGUGAAAGCCCGGGGCUCAACCCCGGGACUGCAUUUGGAACUGUGUGGCUGGAGUGUCUGAGAGGCAGGCGGAAUUCCUAGUGUAGCGGUGAAAUGCGUAUAUAUUAGGAGGAACACCGGUGGCGAAGGCGGCCUGCUGGACUGCGACUGACGUUGAGGCCCGAAAGCGUGGGGAGCAAACAGGAUUAGAUACCCGGGUAA
rnacentral:rRNA from 1 species